UUUUAUCAUUUUGCUACUCAUUAUAUGGAUUUUAAAUAUAAUUGGAUAAUCUGCAUAAUUGAAUAGUAUAUCUCUUAGAUAAAACAUUAACUGAUUUGCUUUUACUCAGGUGUAGCUUCUGCCAUUUUUUUUGGUUAUUUUGUCUUCAUGGCCAUAAAAAAAUAUUUAUUCAGUGCUGAGGAGACUGAUACUGCUUCUUCCCCCCCCAUAGAAAAACAAAGCUCAUUUGCUUUCAAUGAUCUAAUUUCAGUAGAAUUCUUUAGUAGAGGAUUUCUUUUUCAUAGCCAAUUGAUUGGUGGGAGAAAAUGGACCAUUAUGCUAGAUAAGAAGGUUUUAGAAUGGUUGAAAAUAUCACUUAGUUGUAUAAACUAAAUGUAGUAUAUUUGGUAAACACUACAAACAUUAAGCUAAAAUGUAAUCUCUUAGAUAUGCUGUCCUUCGAAAGUUUGUUCCUGUGAGUGUAGUUUUGUAGAUGGCUUUCCUUGUCUCUGAAACUUUCCUUACGCAUUAAGAAAGUUUACUAACAUAUUCACAUUCAUAUGUUUGAAAGGUAUAUUAUGAUGAAAAAAAUCAAUGUGGAAUUGUGAAAACCUUAGUACAAAUAAAAGCAUUCAAAAGAGCUUGAUUGCAGAAUUAAUAACGUGAUAGUUCUAGGAAAAGAGCUGCAAUGGUAAAUUAAAUUCACUGUCAAUAGAUGAAAAUGAAAUAGCUUUUUUGCAUUAUACAUGAGGUGGUAUCAGAUGUGCAGGGAUGUUACAGAAAAUUGGUGUUUAUCAAGGAUAUUCCAAAUAGUAAAUUAAAUGCCUUUUCAUUUGAAUAUAGUUUAUUUUCAGUGGGUUUGAAAGGGUGCACCGAGAAUUAGAUCUUUUGUUUUUAGUCCACUUAGUUAUACAUUUUUUUCUUAUUACAUUGAAAUUGCUUAUUUUAUUUAUAGUUCUGAAGCACGUUAUUCAUAUAGAACAAGAAUAUCCGUUGGAAAAAAUGGAAAACUGGAAUGCGUUGAACAAAAUUUUGUGUGUGUAGUGACGUAACCUGAUCAAAUGUGAUUUGAAAUGUCUGGAUAAAAGAAGGCUUAUACUCUGCCUGUAACAGGUGGAAACCAAGCACACGCUAUGGAAUUAAUUUUAAGGAUAAAGUAAAGCCUUGUAAUUAAUAAGAAGUUGUAUUAAUUCUGAACACUUUAAUUUAAAUAUGGUAUUACUGGAUUAUUCCCUGUUCAGACAGAUACAUCUCUCUUCUUCUGACAGACUUCAAUUUUAAUAGUCUUUCUGUUCACACUUGACCACAAGCCUGUGGAAUUAUCUAAGGUCCUGGUAUUCUUCAACAUAACAGCCUCUGAGCUACUUUCAACUUCUCGUGCUCAGAUAUAUUUAAGGGAUACUUACCUGCUCAUCUCAGAUGAACCAAAUUAUAAAACUGUGAUUUCUUAUCGCCGAGUUCUUACAGGAUUAUGCAGUAAUUUGGAAGCCCAUUUUUGUGUUUCAUAUAUGUAUUUAUGACUCCUCUAUUAGAGUGAACAUGCCUGAUGUUUAUUUCAUCAAGAAUCUUUCUAUUUCUUGUUUGGUAAGACAGUGUAUUUGGGGAAAAGUAUACUUUAGUUGUAUAACCUAAUGGAUUUUCUCAAAUUACCUAAGUUUCAAACAGAAUGUAAUUGUGUUCGGAAGGUUUAGUUAAAAUACUGAUGUAUUUAACACAGACUUUCUUUAGGAUGUAUAAGCCAGUAUACAGACACACUUUGGGGAUAUUUUAACAAAUUUCAUCUCAAAUGUAUGUCCAUUGUUUUUACUAUAGCCAAUAUAAUAUACUCAUAU
rnacentral:lncRNA from 1 species